UGUGAGUAACGCGUGAGGAACCUGCCUUUCGGAGGGGGACAACAGUUGGAAACGACUGCUAAUACCGCAUGAUACAUUUGGGCCGCAUGGUCUGAAUGUCAAAGAUUUAUCGCCGAAAGAUGGCCUCGCGUCUGAUUAGCUAGUUGGUGGGGUAACGGCCCACCAAGGCGACGAUCAGUAGCCGGACUGAGAGGUUGGCCGGCCACAUUGGGACUGAGAUACGGCCCAGACUCCUACGGAAGGCAGCAG
rnacentral:rRNA from 1 species